ensembl:antisense Gm20522 predicted gene 20522
AGGCGUCUGGGUGCUCGCGCAGCGAGUAGCUGUGGGGCCCAGCGUCCGGGGAGCGGCCUCCGGGAGCCGUGCGAGCCCGGAAGCAGCUGUACCGGGUCGGGAGGGACCAGCGGGGGCGGAGCUCCGCAACCCGUGAGGCGGACUCGACAGAGCGACCUCCUCCGAAGCCCCCGCGAUUCACUAGCGCAGGCGUAGAGAGAGGACCACCUAAGACCAGACCCUGAGCACGAACCCGGGUUCGGCUGCUCACCUCCCAGACCUUCCCGCCGCUGACACUGGUUAGGUUCAGCUCUCUGGGGCUUAGAGGAACUACUGUCAUCUGCGAUUAGAGCCUCAUAGAAAGCCCGGGCAGCAGCCCCGUCCAGGACAGGCUCUGCUUUCUCCUGCUGUGGUUGCUGCUGCCCAUCCUUCCAGAGGUCACUGGAGUCAGCCGCUGGGGUAAAUUCGAUGAAGGAUGGCCUAGACAUGCCUGUGAGAGAAACAAGAAAAUGAAGACUGGGCAAGGCAAGGAUGUGACAAGCAAGCGAUCCAACCAUUCAGGUAGCUAUUGUGAAGAUGACCAGCACCACCUCUGGGGGCCCGCUGAGAUGGGAAAGCAGCCUAGAACUAAAAUGGGCCUCCCAUCCCAAAACUGACUUCAUAGUUAGGAUUCUGUGGAGCCCGGGCCUCAUGGGUAAAAGGGACCCCAGGAAUAACAACAGAUCCUGUCACGAUGGGAUGGGUAAAACAGACCCCAGGAACAACAGAUCCUGUCAUGAUGUUAAUAAAAUUUCAUGAGGGCAUA